AAUCCAGACUCCUACGGGAGGCAGCAGUGGGGAAUAUUGCACAAUGGGGGAAACCCUGAUGCAGCGACGCCGCGUGAGUGAAGAAGUCAUUCGUGAUGUAAAGCUCUAUCAGCAGGGAAGAAGUUGACGGUACCUGAGUAAGAAGCCCCGGCUAACUACGUGCCAGCAGCCGCGGUAAUACGUAGGGGGCAAGCGUUAUCCGGAUUUACUGGGUGUAAAGGGAGCGUAGACGGCAGUGCAAGUCUGAAGUGAAAGCCCCGGGCUUAACCCGGGAAUUGCUUUGGAAACUGUACGGCUGGAGUGCUGGAGAGGUAAGCGGAAUUCCUAGUGUAGCGGUGAAAUGCGUAGAUAUUAGGAGGAACACCAGUGGCGAAGGCGGCUUACUGGACAGUAACUGACGUUGAGGCUCGAAAGCGUGGGGAGCAAACAGGAUUAGAUACCCUUGUAC
rnacentral:rRNA from 1 species